ensembl:snoRNA SNORA62 Small nucleolar RNA SNORA62/SNORA6 family
AAUCACCACCCUUGGAUUUGAGGCCACUGGCUUGUUGAUAAAGUCACAAGCAUGGGUAGUGCGCUCCAUGAGGGGCAAGUCUUUCACUGACAACACUAGGGUCUCUGAACCAAUGAGUGGAAUUUGAUAGUAAUCCCUGCUAUAAGU